GUAGUGAGUCUUGUGUAGGUGGUGGUGGAAGGUGUAGUGAGUCUUGUGUAGGUGGUGGUGGCAGAUGUAGUGAACCUUGUGUAGGUGGUGGUGGCAGGUGUAGUGAACCUUGUGUAGGUGGUGGUGGAAGGUGUAGUGAACCUUGUGUAGGUGGUGGUGGAAGGUGUAGUGAGUCUUGUGUAGGUGGUGGUGGAAGGUGUAGUGAGUCUUGUGUAGGUGGUGGUGGCAGGUGUAGUGAACCUUGUGUAGGUGGUGGUAUCAGGUGUAGUGAACCUUGUGUAGGUGGUGGUGUCAGGUGUAGUGAGUCUUGUGUAGGUGGUGGUAUCAGGUGUAGUGAACCUUGUGUAGGUGGUGGUAUCAGGUGUAGUGAACCUUGUGUAGGUGGUGGUGUCAGGUGUAGUGAGCUUGUGUAGGUGGUGGUAUCAGGUGUAGUGAACCUUGUGUAGGUGGUGGUGGCAGGUGUAGUGAGUCUUGUGUAGGUGGUGGUGUCAGGUGUAGUGAGCUUGUGUAGGUGGUGGUAUCAGGUUUAGUGAACCUUGUGUAGGUGGUGGUGUCAGGUGUAGUGAGUCUUGUGUAGGUGGUGGUGUUAGUUGUAGUGAGCUUGUCUAGGUGGUGGUAUCAGUGUAGUGAACCUUGUGUAGGUGGUGGUGGCAGGUGUAGUGAGUCUUGUGUAUGUGGUGGUAUCAGGUGUAGUGAACCUUGUGUAGGUGGUGGUGGCAGGUGUAGUGAGUCUUGUGUAGGUGGUGGUAUCAGGUGUAGUGAACCUUGUGUAGGUGGUGGUAUCAGGUGUAGUGAAUCUUG